AAUUUUUUAUUCACAAUGUUGUGUUCUUUUAAAAAGCCCAAUUUAAUACAUUUCAGGACCUACAAAACACAGAUCCUUUUCUGUACAUAGUCAUAAUGCUUUGAAAUUCAACCGUAAAAGGGCAGAAAAGAGGAAGCGAAGCCUCACAAAAAUUGCGAACCUUUUCUCUGCUCUCAAUUUUGGCCCCUGGAGAGCGCUGCUGUCUAAAUUUGGAAAUGGCUUUUCUGUAAAAGAUCAGAAUAAGCUCACAAACACCUUCCUUCCAUAGAGUUUAAAGAGAUCUGAGAUAGUCUCACACUUUUUUUUUUUUUUUGGCACAGUGACAAGUAAAACACUCAGUUGCCAGAGGCAGGCAGUUUUGUUAAGGCAGCCUCUCUUCCUAACAGUCAUUACAACACCCAUCAGCAGAAGAAAUCUAAAUCCCCUGUCAUUUCUCCUCAACCUCAGAGCAACCUGGGUUCAAGUCCCUGGGUCAUCAGAUUUUUGUUUGUGAGGAAUCUCCCAGAAAGAAGCUUGCUGCCUCUUCACUGCCACACCAUGAUCUUGGUGUUCACCUUGAUGCUUGAGGUGUUCCUGUUCCUGAGAGGAACCGGAGCCCAGUCAGUGACCCAGCCUGACAGCCUCAUCACUGUCCCUGAAGGAGACGCUGUGGAGCUGAGGUGCAAGUACUCCUCUUCUGUCGCACCCUAUCUCUUCUGGUACGUGCAGUACCCCAACCAAGGACUCCAGCUUCUCCUGAAGUACACGUCUGGAAAUAGCUUUGUUUCAGGCAUCAGAGGCUUUGGGGCUGAAUUCAGGAAGAAUGAAACCUCCUUCCACCUGAGGAAAACAUCAGUCCAUUUGAGUGACUCAGCCAAGUACUUCUGUGCUCUGAGUGACACAGUGACUGAGACUGCAGGGGGAGCUGAACACAAACACACUGAGACACAGCAGCUUAAAAGACCCAGCAUCUCAGCCUGCGUUAUUUUCAGGAAGUUAGUGUGUUGUUUGAUGGCAAACAGUACAAACAAUACAGAGUUCUGGAGGUGUUUUGCUCCUAUGGAAAAGACUCCUGGAUAA